rnacentral:rRNA from 1 species
CAGCCGCCACGGGAAUACGAAGGGUGCAAGCGUUAAUCGGAAUUACUGGGCGUAAAGCGCGCGUAGGUGGUUUGGUAAGAUGGAUGUGAAAUCCCCGGGCUCAACCUGGGAACUGCAUCCAUAACUGCCUGACUAGAGUACGGUAGAGGGUGGUGGAAUUUCCUGUGUAGCGGUGAAAUGCGUAGAUAUAGGAAGGAACACCAGUGGCGAAGGCGACCACCUGGACUGAUACUGACACUGAGGUGCGAAAGCGUGGGGAGCAAACAGGAUUAGAUACCCCCGUAGUCCCUGUCUCUUAUAC